GUUAAUUUAACGUGUUAAAAUUUAAAAAUAAAUUUUAAUUAUGACAUGCAUUUAACAUUUAUAUAAAUAUAUAUCAUAGCCUAAAUAUAAAUAAUUUAAUAACUUAAAUUAGAAAAAAAUAAAAAUCCCGGGCGUAGCCCGGGUUAAUCCCUAGUCUAUCUAUACUAAUAAAGGAGAGUUGUCUCUCUCCUUAGGCUAUCCAGCUCAGCAAAGAGGGAGGGGCAUUUUCCGCCACGUGGCAGUCUAAUAUUUAACUUGGAAAUCUAUUACACUGAACUUUUGUUACGCUGGCCCGAAACUUGAAACCUUGCAGUCCAUUGGGCCGUCCUUUGCAAUUUAUUGACCUAAAAGGAGCCGCUGCGAUCAUUGGUUUAUACAACACCGACGGCCUUAGGCUAUCAUUCAAUCGCCCAAUAAUGAUCGCAUUUACGUCAUCUCCCCACUUCCUCCACUCCCUCACAUUCAAUAGCCCUCUCACUCCUCUAUAGUAACGGAGGAGUCCUUCUAUAAAUAACAUUGCAGUCUAGGAUGAAACUCAUCACUCGCACCGAAUCAAUAGCUUUCUCUUAAAAACCCAGAUUCCAUCGAUGGAGCCUCUCACCUAUUGCUCUUCGAUUUGAAAGUUCGUCGUUCUACUAAGACUGUGGAGGUGUUACUGCUUAGGUUAUGGGAGGCGCCUAAUGUGACAAAAGGAGGAGAGCUCCAGGGAAUGGACAUGAUCAUCCUCGAUGAACAGGUAAAGCUUGGUCAACGCCCCACCGAUUGAACACUUUUAGACACCUACUAAGGAAGGUUCAAUCUACUCGAUAACUGGGAUAAUUGGGUUGGCGUUACAUGAACAAACCAUAACUCUCCAACUCCCCGAUCUCCAUACACUUCGAUGAGCAACCCGCGUUCAAAAAUAUUCAGUUGCGGGCGCUGCCAAGCUGCUCCCAGGAACUUAGGCCCUGCCAAUUCACAUGAACCAUGUAUAAAGGCAGUGAAAUUCAAUAUUUUGAGAUGUCAAACACAAAACAAUCAGGGUACAGUUGGAACCUAAAGUGAAACAUGAGUAUAAACUGACAGAUACAUUUGAAAAGUGGUCUGCAUAUGGAAAAUUAGACUAGACAGUAAGUAUAUUACUCCACCGAAAGUGUAAUGUUUAUAGUCCUAGAACGUGCAUUAUGAGUGUAAUAUAUCUGGACAUCCAUUAACAUCAUAUGAACAUCUAUACAACAUCGACAAUUUGACAUCUAAGUUUGUUGGACAUAGUAGUCAAGAAUUUACAAAUCGUCAAUUAUGCUUUCUUGGCAACACAUGCCACCUCAAAACAAUAAUGAUCUGUAUACGAAAGCAUCAGACCAAGUCUCACUAUUCACAUUGUGAACUAAAUUUUGUGGUGAAGCAGCAGUUGAUCGGAGAAUAAGUACAUCACUUGAUGACCACAGCGUUUGAAAGAACAUAACCAUAAUUGUCACAAAUGCAAUGACAACAACCAAAGAUUGGCCUACCCUGUAACUACAUUCACGAAACAGCAUGUGCACUCUUGGAAAUGAUCAAACUCUAUCAGGUUCCAAUUGUAUUUGACCAUGACCCCUCGAACGUAUUUGAUUUUAAAAACAGCAUUAACGGCAGGUAGCUAAAAGAGCUUUUAUCUAUCUCAUAACCAAACUAACAGCAAACAAUCAUCCCAAACAUAUCAACCAUUGUUAUAUUUCUCGCUUAACUUUGAUUAGACAUUCAACAGAGUCCACAUGAAGAGAUAUAACAUAGAAUUAUCAAAAUUCAAUAAGAAACCAACCUUGAGGAACCGAUGUUGAUGUUCUUGUGAAACCCUGACACAAUCAGCACAACUACCAUCAAUCAGCCUCUCAGACCCAAAAUAUCCACCUCCUGCUCUUUCUCUUCCUUCUUCUCCUUAUCUACACCGCCUGGCUUCGUCUCUUCGAGGUUGGUCUGAAAAUCUCUGUCUUCAUCGUUGUCUCUGUCGUCGGAUUUGAAAAAGAGGUCAUCUAGGGAUUGAGAGAGGAAAUGGGAAUUAGGGGGACGGAUUCUGAGGCGCCCGAGUAGGAUUUGGAAUUUGUGUAUCUGUUGAAAGAGCUCAUGGUUAUUCGCGAUUCCAUCUUCUUUUUAUUUUUCCCUUCUCUUCGUUAUCCUUAACGAAAUCAGAUUUUAGAAGAAAAAAAUCCCAAAAAAGUAUCAGUUUUAGAUGUAAACGUGGGUUAGUCUAAAUGGUAAAUAUCAACUUUUAGGCAUCGUAUUUCAAGUUUCGUAAAUGGUGUUUUUGGUUUCUUAACUUUUGUAAUCCAAAAUAAUCUUUAAAAAUAUAUAAACUUAGUAAUAUAGUAACUAUAAUAUUUUAUUUCUAUAUAAUUAUUAACUAUUUCUAGAUUAGUAUCAAAAAUUCUGAUCUAAUGUAUUGGUAUAAAAAGUUAUUAUAGAAUUUGUAAAUUAAAUAGAAUUGGUAAAUUAAAUAGAAUUUGUAAAAAGUUUUCAAGUAUAUAUUUACAUAGAAUUUUGUAUUUUGUUAUUUUAUCAUUUUAUAGAAUUGUAUUGUAUUCUGAGUUGAUACAACUUAGAACUCAAAACGGAAUACUAAUUUAUAGUUUUUAUUAUAAGUAUAAAUGGAGUAUCAUGCUAAUAAGAAGAAUAUAGAAAUAGAGUCUACCACUAAUUCUCAGAGACCUAAUAGAUGAAAGAAAAUAUUACAUUGUAGGACACUUAUUGAGUUUUUAUUUCAUCCUAGGUCACUUGUUGCUACUAACACACUUUUCUUGUACUUUCUCUACCAACGCCUCUAGUACAAUAUCUCUUUUACCCUUUCUUCCAAGUUUUUAUUCCUUUCUAACUAAAACAACCGACAAAAAAAUUACUUCAUCUCAUCUUCUUAAUUUUGAAAUCUUCUCGUAUCCAUGGUAAGGGGAGUAAAGAAAAAAAUCUUUAUAAAAGAAAAAAAAAUAAAAAAUUCUCCAAAUCGGACGAUAUUUCUCCGAUUUUGACUAAUUCUAACCCAGAAAAUCCUCAUAUUUCUGAAAAAUUGUCUUCAUUCUCUCUUUAUUUUCCCAAUUUCUUUUGGGAAUGUCUAAGGUUAUGCAAUUUCUUACAAAAGAUGGCUCCUUUAUGUACCAAUUCGAAGGUUAGGCUGUGAAUAUUUGGGUUUUUUUUGUUAAAUUCUGACAAGCUUAUGUCUUUUUUUAUUUUAUUUUGCAGGCCUUGCAAAUCUAUCAGUUACAUGUUAAAUUUUGAUAUAUAACUUGAUUUUGUAUAGCUAAUGUGCCUAUGUUGUUUCCUUUUACUGUUUUUUUCUUUCAAGUCACAAAAAUGAUUUGAUAAUGUUGUUGUGGAGUCUUCAUAUAUGUCCUUACUCUUUAUAUUUCUCAAGUUUUUAUGAGUCUUUUUAAUGGAGAACUGAAGCUGCUGAGUUAGUAGUCAUUAGUUAUCCCAAUUGAGGCUGAUUUGCAGAACAUGUUAGUCACUUUAUUAGUGUCUCUUUGAUAUUUGUCUCUGAUCAGAUUCGAACACAUUACCAUUCCCUUUAUGUGUCUUGACGCAUAACAUAUUCUGAUAUAUAUCAUAUAGUUAUGGCGUUUGUAUUCUCCGGUUAGGACGUUCCUUCUUUCUGUAACUUUUGAUUUGAACAGAUUGUGGAGGUGAUGAUCCAGAGCUCAAACAGGAAAUGAAGAAGCAGUUUGUGGACACUGGCUAAGGAGUUGAAGCUGCAAGAAGCAGUUGGAGAUGAGCAUAGCCGUCAUAUGAACGAUACCCUUGCAGAAGCUAAAGUUGCAUCUUCACUAUCAUUGUGGGGAUACAAUGCUAUCCAACUUUACUUACAUAGUUUAUAUGCUCAUCUCGGAAACUAGCUUCUCCUGCUCCCCCUAGGUUACGUUUGUAUAGGUCUUAUAUUUUGGGCAUACUCAUUUGGUGGACACUUCAACUCUCCACGUUGACACUAGUCUGCAUCUCUUGUGCUUUUUACAUGUUUUUGUUCUGUUUUUUUUUUUUUGCUUUGAGAUGUAUAAAUGAAUACUUUGUACAUUUGCAAUAUCAUAUUUGCUGGGGUUUUUAA